AUCUACCACGGGAGAAAUCUUCUUUAUCGUAAUAUUGAUAGAACUAAUAGCGAAAGCCGAGGAUUGUUCACGAUCGCUGAGAUUAAGAGGAAACAUGAAGGAACGUAUUAUUGCGUUGUUCAAAAUGAAUACGGGUUCGGGCAUAAUAGAACGAUCAGCUUAACUGUGUAUGAUGGUCCUGAGAACUGUCCAAUGAAAAGAGAAAUACUUACCGAAAAGAGAAAUACGACCAGACGUAUUAAAACACAACGUGAAAAUCCAUCUCCUACAACCACUGAUCAUUCGUUGCAAACAAAAAUGAAAACACAAGAAAGGGAAGUUGGAGGUAUUCAUUCUGGGACACAGAUCGCAGUUCCUAGCUUGCUAUUGUUUGUGAUAGCCUUAUGGAGUAUCUUCUUAUGAAAGUGGAAAUGCUGGUGAAAUAAAAUUUCCUUGUGAGAAGAAGGCAUACCAGCUUCUGCAAGACAAUCAGUCGCCGUUGUUCUUUGGACAAACUUUAACAAGUAAUCAUGGCACACAUUCAUUCUCAGUGAAACUGAGACAUUAUGUGUUCUUAAGGCCUCAAUGUAAAUGGUCGUGUUAGCUUUUGGAUCGCUACAGAAAUUAAACAAGAAAUUUACUAAAGAAUUGAUAAUAUUGGGGAACUUCGUAUAUUUAUAGCGCUGUAAAAAAUAAAAUUAAUGCACUGUAAAGUAUAAAAUUAGUGAAAAACUAAAGAUAAUGUUCUAU